UGGGGUCGGCCCGAAAGCUCUAGAAUGCACCCCUCUUCCUCCCCGGGGCCUUCCACCUCCGCGAGUUUUAUGACUUAAAAAAGCCCACAGGCUGGUCUGAAGAGGAAGACAAACAUAAAGAUGAAGUGCUUAAUUCAAGGUCACACAAUGUCGGGGAUGGACCUCCAGAUUUCCUUACUGGUGAGACGUGGUCUUGUAACACAGUGGUUAAGAAUGUGACUUUGGAGCCAGCCUGCUAGGGGCUGAAUUCUGACUCAGCCAUUUACUAACUGUGUGACCUUAGGGAGGAGGACCUGGUUGAUAGAAGAAUUUAUCUCGUAGUCUUAACAUCCACUGUAAUUCCAAACUUUGAGGACGAUAGAGAUCAGUGGGCUUUGACUGCCCAGCAUGCAGUCUCCAUUCUUAGGUGGGUUCCCAAGCCUGUAAAAUGUAAGCCUUAUGCUGCUGAGGGCCAUCUUGCCACCCUGAGGGAAACGCUGCCUGAGAAUGAAACAAGCAUAAGUAAAAGCUGAGCUGUGAGAUGGAGCAAGAUGAAGGCCACAUGACAUCUUUGGAGCACCUGGAUCUAACUGUGCCUUAAGCUAGUCUAACCCUGAACAUUUCAUCAUUUCAUUGACAUGAGCCCAGGUUUUCU
rnacentral:lncRNA from 10 species